ACCAAGUUGCUCAGACUCAUGGGCAUCUGCCCUAAUUGCUGAGCUCGACCAAUUCAAGAAUGAAAAGGUUGUUAGUAGAAAUCUUCCUGCAUCAUCCAUUGAAAUUGAUCUCAUGGAUGAUUUCCUUGAGAUGGAGCGACUUGCUGCCCUGCCCCAGGCCGAGCAUGGAAGCCGUAGCCUUGAAUCACAAGCUGUUACCAACCAGACCAGUAAUGAAGAUAGUUCAUUGAGAGCUGAGCUUGAAACCAUGACUCAUCGGAUGGCUGAAUUGGAAGAGAAGUUGGAGAAAAUGGAAGCAGAGAAAGCUGAAUUGGAGAUAGCUCUAACAGUAAGUCAAGAUUGUAUUGAAGCAUCCAAAAUUCAGUUGAGAGAGGCUGAGAUGAAGUUGGAGGAGAUGCAAAAGGAGCUCGAUUUUGCAAAUGAAUCAAAGCAAGCCCUUGAGUCUCAACUCAUUGCAAUGGAAGCAGAGGCUAGGACCAUGUCUGCAAGGGUUGAUUCCCUAGAAGCAGAGAUAAAAAAAGAGCAUGCUAUGUCAGCAGAAAUUGGAGUCAAAUGUCAAGAAUUGGAGGAUGAACUACUGAAAAAGAAACAAGAACUCAAGUUUCAGCAAGCUGCAAGCUCAAAUAGUGAACGAAAGGUGAAGCAGGUCAGUCAUUCUCUGAAUUGCUCAUCUUCUUUUCCAUGUCAAUCUAAAAGAGGCAGGAUAUAAACAUUCCCCUGGUAUAACAUAACAAUGCAGGAGGAGCUAGCCAUUGCAGCUGGAAAACUUGCAGAGUGCCAGAAGACAAUAGCAUCUCUGGGGAAGCAACUAAAAUCUCUGGCAACACUGGAAGACUUCCUGACCGAUGCUGGGAACCUAGCAGACUUCUCUGGAAAAUCAGUGAUUUCUACAGCAGCAGGUGGAGAAACAUGGCAGUUGCAUUCCAAUGACACAUUUUUGCCUAGAAGAAGUGCUGAUUCUUCCAACAUGAGUGCUGAGAUUUGUGGUCCUUCAAUCAAUGGUAACAAUGGGAAUUCAUUCUCAUCUUUGUCCCUCUCAGCUUCAUCCAUAAAUCAUCUCGGCUCCGAUAAAACUCUUCAAGGGUUUGGAAACCAGUUGCCUCCAACUAGGAGUAGGAGUGGGAUUCAGCUACAAAAUCAUUGAUGGUACAUGGAAAAUGGAAAAGAAAAAACCCAAAAAAAAGAAAAAGAAAAAAAAAAAAGAGGAUUUUGAUUUUGCAUUUGUAAAACAGAGAUUUAGUAUCUGUUGAAAUAGGAAAUUGGUGAUUGAGUCCGGUGUUUAAUGGGCAGUUGUGUUCAUAUGGAUGAUGGUGUCUUAGAAUUUUGAGAAAUUAGAGAAGGUUUCAAUCACAAAUUGCAUUUUUACUUUGUUUGUGGUUGGUGUUACUUAUUAAAUCUCAUGUGUUUUUUUUUUUUUUUAAAUGCAUUUUUUAUUAUUUAUUUCUAAAAUAAGAAAAUAACAUUGAAAUAGUAAUAUUUGUAAAAUUUUAAAAAUUAUUUACUAUUUUUUUAAAAAAAAAUUAUCAUCUCAUGUUUUAAAAUAGAUAAUUACUUGUGAUAAUUUAAAUACAUAUUUAAUUAAAUUUAUAAAAAAUAAAAAAUUACUUAUAAUACUUCUCAAAAAACACCUAAUAAAUGAUUUUUUUUUUCAAAAAAAUAGAUCUAAAAAAAAUACUUUUUCCAUUGAAAAAUAAUCAUUUUGAGAGGAUGAUGAAUAAUGACGUAAUGUUCAAAAAUAUUUAUGAUUGAAAUUGGGGUGCCAAGGGCCAGGUGGACUAGGUUGGGUUGGAGUGACUUAGUGAGAACCACCCAAAGCACACACUGAAACCUCACUCCCAAACACAAAGUACACACCGACGUGGGCACUUUAGUUACCCUUCACACCCUCUCUCAUCCUAUCCACAUCUCUCAGCUCUUCAUUAUACUUCCAUUCCCACCUCUCAAUUCUCAAAAUUUAGCUUGACGAACACAGAGCUAGAGCAAAGGUUACAUUCAUUUUCCCAAGAAAAAAAAAUUGUAUUUUAAACCUCAGGCGCCAUGGCUCAGACCAUGCUGAUCACUCCUAGCGUUUCCGGGCAUUCAGUGCUGGAUUUGAAGCGACAGCCUCUGCUUCAGAGACUCAGGCCCAAGCCAUUCUCCCACCUUCUCCUCCCUCCACUUCCCACCUCUUCCUCCACUUCAUCUCCUGCAUUUACAACUCUUGCUCUCUUCAAAUCAAAGACCAAAGCCGCUCCUUCAAAGAAGGUCCCAUCUCCAUUUCCUCAAUCAUUCUUUACUAUUAUUAUUAUGUCUCAAUCUCUGGGUUCAUUAUUAAUUUCUUGGUAUUUUCCCUGUAACAGGUUACGAAGCCGAAGCCACAGGUUGAAGAUGGAAUAUUUGGCACCUCUGGUGGCAUUGGCUUCACCAAAAAAAAUGAGCUGUUCGUGGGUCGUGUUGCCAUGCUCGGCUUUGCUGUGAGAAAAUUUUCCUUUUCCCAUCUAUUUUCAGCUUCUUAAUUCACUGCUUUUACAAGUAAUUUUGUGGUUAAUUAGCUUAGUAUUGAAAUCAGUAGAAUCUAAAUUGGAAGAAAUGAUAGACGUACUCCAGAUUUGAUUAUUUCACUAAACGACAUAGCUCCUUCUCGUAGCUUCUCUUGUAUGUACACGUGUCCGUGUAAAAGCCAUACAUAAAACAAUAAUCAUAGAAAGAAAUCAUAAAAAGUAAUUUGAAAAAUUCUAUUUUUUGUCCACUUCCAAUGGAGGGCCAUGUUAAUGGGUGAUUUGAGAGAGUUAUGUGGGAGCAUUGCAGGCAUCCCUGUUGGGUGAGGCAAUUACAGGGAAGGGAAUCCUAGCACAAUUGAAUCUAGAAACUGGAAUCCCUAUCUACGAAGCUGAGCCACUUCUCCUCUUCUUCAUCCUUUUCACCCUGCUUGGAGCCAUAGGAGCUUUGGGUGACCGUGGCCGCUUCGUUGAUGAUGACCCUCCAACUGGAAUUGAGGGGGCAGUCAUCCCUCCCGGCAAAGGCCUCAGAUCAGCAUUAGGACUCAGGGAAGGAGGUAAACUAAUACGCCCUCAAUACAUACAUUUUUAUAGAAGUAGUACUGCUGAUACAUGUAUUCUGAGCUUCACUUUUCAUUGUUGUGUAAGGUCCUCUAUUUGGAUUCACAAAGUCGAAUGAGCUGUUUGUGGGAAGAUUGGCUCAGUUGGGCAUCGUCUUCUCUAUAAUUGGAGAAAUAAUUACAGGGAAGGGAGCUCUGGCACAACUGAACAUCGAGACAGGAGUUCCGAUUAGUGAUAUCGAACCCCUCGUCCUCUUCAAUGUCAUUUUCUUCUUCUUUGCUGCAUUGAAUCCCGGGUCGGGAAAAUUUGUGACAGAUGACGAAGAGGAGUAGAUUCUUGUUUGUGUGAACAAGACUGGAUUUACAAGCAACUUCUUUACAUUCUACGUUCAAGCAUGUAUCAAAUAAUGCUCUAUUUUGUUGCCUAAUCUCUCUUCCUUUGAAAUGGCAUUUUGCUUUCUCUCUCUGUUUUAAUUGUGCACCGCUUCCUUUACCUGAUAACCCCAAUUGGUUUGGAGUUGGAGUAGACCCAAAUAUAUGUAUGCAAAACCACCAUAUCCAAUUUUUAGUUAGCUGCACAUGGGGGUGGGUUGGAGGAAAGGGUAAAAAAUAUCUAGACCAUGCACAUGCAUUCUUUGGUCAUGGUCAAAAUAGUUGUGGUGGUCUGAGGCAGAUUAAAUCAAGGGGCAAAAGCACCACCCCUCUUGGCACUCAAAACUUAAUUGCCUUUAUUUAUUUAUUUAUUUAUUGUUGGUAUAUGAUUAAUUAUAUGUAUCAAUCAAAAGAUUUUUCUCAACAACUUGCUGCUCUCACUCUCAAUGAUCCAAAUGACCAAUCUUUUAUGCUGAUAUGAUAAAUAAGUAAAUAAAUUAAUGAAUAAUACAUAUUAAAUCAUAUCACGAGAGUGAUACUAUUUAUGUCGGAAAUGAAAAUAAAUAUAUCAAAAUUUUAAAUAAUUAUAUUUUUGAAAAAGUUGUUCAUUUUCAUUCUUAAUCAGAGAUGAUAAUGGGACAAGAUUUUUUGAAUGUGUGCCUACUCCAUCCUCAAUGGGACGAGUAUGAAAUCUAAAUAAAUAAAUUAGAGGUGAGUUUGAGAUUUUUUAAAACUCAAAAUUGGUUUGGGUAUUUGCUUGUCUCAUUUUAUCAUAUUCUGAUUAUAUAUAAAAUUAAAUUAAAUUAAUUUUUAUUUUUUUAUUUUUAAUAUAUAAUAAUAAAAAUAAAAUAAUUUUUAAUAAAAUAAGUUAUAAAAAAUUAUAAUAUUUUAAUUAUUUAUAAUAUUUUUUAUUUUAAUGUAAUUACAUUUAAAAAAAUUUCAAGAAAAAAAGUUAAACAUAAUGAGACGAAUAUGAGAAAUUCGUAUACCACCCUACCUGGUUUAAAUUUUUUUAAUAAGAUAAGAACAAAAAUUAUUUUAAAUAAAUGAGUCCGAGUUGAAAUGAGGGUAACCUAUUUUGAACCCACUCCAUUACUAUUCCCACGAUCCCACAACAAAGAUUAUUAUGAAAAAUGAAACAUUUAAUUAUAAAAAUAUCCAAAAUCAAAUGCAUAAUAGCAAUAACAAUAUACAUAUAUAUUAUACAACAUUUGUUAUUCUUUUAUUUGUAUAACCACCAUUCUUUCUUAUAUAAAAAAUAAUAAAAAUUAAUGCUUCCACCUCUUAAUCAUCAAAGUUUUCAUAUCUAAUAAAAAGGAAUUGAGGUAUAAAAUAUAUAUAUAUUUUUUAAUUUCAAAUUACUACAACUUUGACUUGAUCCAGUAAGGAUGUAAUAACGAACUCAUAAUUUAUUCGAGCACAAAUAUACCUUUUCACGUGAAGCAAGUCAAGUAAUAAUUGAAAUACACAUAAUAAUUAAAAAUUAAACAGUCACCAAGAAUCAGAUACAUGAAGAGUCCAGGAUCAGUUUGAUUCCAAUUCAUCAAGACUCGGCUGAAUCAAUUCAGCUUCCCCACACGUUUGCAGCCACGUGGGAAGGAUCAUGCCUGGCUGUUCCCGUGAGAAAAGACUAUUAGAAAAAGAAAUGAUCGUGAAUGCAUGCACCUACCGGCAAAUCAUGGUCAUCCAAGGUUUCUAAAAGAGUGGUGGAUGGGGAAACGCAAUCCUAACCGUCCACGUACGAAUCUGUCAUUAGAGAGAAGGACAAGUGUCCUGUAAAGGGAACAGCAUCUAACAUUAAAUUAUUCAUUUGGGGGUCCGCUGGUCGUAAGCAGAGUAGAGGAAGGAAGGGACCAAGAAAAAGCUUCCGAUCAAUCUCAAUCUCUCCGUCCCCCUCGUCACCGACCUUUUCCGUAGAUUCCCCAAAGCUCAGUAAAACCUUAUCUCCAACAAGGAAACACGUCUUUGUGUUUCUCUCGCAACCGAUUCACUUCUGUGGAGUCUUCUUUUCUGGAUUUGGGAAGAACGGUUACAGUGUCUAAACCCCGCUCUGAAAUCUGAAUCGCUUCUGCCUUCUGAUAAUAUAUGGAGAAUUCGAUGGUUCUCGCCCACGAAACUCAACCUCAUCGGGACUUUUCUGCUUCUUCUCUAAGAGAUGUCAGUUACAGGUACUCUCUCUUUCUCUUUCUCUCUCCACUGACCUGACUCUAUGAAUGAAUUAUCCUCCUGGUUUGCUGGAAUUUGUUUCCCCAUUUUAAUAUUGAAAAUUUUCGGAUGGAAUGCGCACUGGUAAACUUCAAAAUGUGAUUUUUAUUAAGGAAUCGCUUUCAUUUAUUAUUGUUUUUUCUGCUGCGGAAUAAUUGCUAGACCACUGCUAAGUGAAUAUUUGCCCUUUGUAGUUAUAUUUGGAAUUCGAGAAGUAAAAAUCUUGUGGAUUUUGCUUUGAAUUAUCUCCCAAAGAGGAAAGAGAAUCAUUAAUAUGUCCCCUUUCGCCAGGCUUUUAACACUCAGUUCUGAAUCUGAAUUGUCUUGAAAGGAAAGAGAAGAAACUGUCAGGCAUGUAUGAUGACUGACCUAGAAAACGAUUCAACCCAGAAAAUAGGUUUGGCAGAAGAAUUGUCUUGAAAAAUUUUGAGAAUUUUUUUUUUGAAAACAUUGCUAAAAAAUUUCCUUUCCUUAUUUUGUUCAUCAAGACUGAGGAGUCCAAAAAUAACUUCUCCAUGAUUACGUUGAUUUUUGUUUUCCCUUUUCUUGUUGUUGUCAAAAAACCGACCAUAGGUUUUGAAAAAUUGUUUUCUUCUAGUUUUGGGUUUACCGCUGAAGAAAGCAGUCUUUGGAUUUUCUAUAAUUACAAACCGAUAGCAAACCCAGAACCAGUCAAUUUGAUUUGUCAAGAAGCGAUAUGGUAUAGAAAUGAGUUUAUUUAUGGAAUAUUUAUAAUUUGGAGGUGUGGCAAUAAGAUGUAUGUUUGAUGCAGCUGUGGUUCUUGUGGGUACGAACUAAAGCUUUGCUCCUCUAAUCGGAACACAAAGAAUAUAGGCUCCAAAUAUGGGAAAAACAUAAAACGCGGCGUCAUAUCAUUUCUCCAAGUCGAUGAGAGUAGAUUUACCCUGGUUGAUGAGUUCAAAUGUAUACCCUACUUCAUCUCCAGGCACUCUUGGGGUUUGUUCUGCCACAGAACCAAACUUCUUUGCCGUAAGUGUAGCAACCAUGUUGGCAAUGCUUAUGUCAGGAAGUCUCCUUACCCACUUGUGUUGGAUGAAUCGGAUUCUGCCCCAGCCCCAGCCACAGCCACCACUGACAUCUCCACUUGUAGAAAAUAUGACAUUCGACUCCGUGCCCUGCAGCCCUCAUCUUCUGAGCCCUCUGCCAUUCCGCUUCUCACCUGAUCUGCAGAUUCAAACCAAGAAUAUUCUUAUGAGGGACUGUAUAGCAAUUGAGUCCUUUGUUUUUGGUCUUGGUUUUCUGCUCUUUUGUAUUACUAGAUAGAUGGUGAGUCGGUGACUUGUAAAUAUCAGUUUCCCAGACUGGAUUAUCAAAGUUUAUUUUUACACUUCCAGUAACUUAUAAAUAACGCGGUCGAUGUGAUUUCUUGUCACUCAGAUUGUGCCCUUGUUCUCACUGUUCUCUGUUAGCCAUGACCAUAAUCACAACAUAUCCUUCUAACCAUUAUUCACAUAUCUUGCCCACUUUCCUAUUCAAUUUGGAAACUGGAAAUGUUCAAAAUUCAACAAACUUUCCUUCGCCACGCCCACAGUUUAUGUCAUUGGAUCGGAGUUUUGGGUAAAAAUAACCCAUUUAUUAAAAAAAUAUAACAUCUAACUAUUUUUUGAAACUUAUAUUCAAAUUAACUUUUUUGGUGCCACGUAGGCGUCAUGUAAUUAAAAAAUAUAUAUUUUUUAUUAUUUUAGUUAAAGCGUUAGUUGGUAACUGAGGCUUCAUUUUAAAACUAAAACUAUAAUUAUCAAUUGAGACUUCAUUUUUGAACUAAAAUCGCAAUUGUCAAUUGAGGUUUUAGUUAGUUUUUUUUAAAAAAUUAAAAUUUUAAUUAAAAAUUAUUAAAUUAUAAUUUAUAAUUGAAAAUUUAAAAAUAUAUUUAAAUAAUAAAUUAUUUAUAUUUAAUCUUAAGAAUCUAGUAUUACUUCAACAAAUAUCAAUUGAUAAAUAAAAGAUAUUAUAAAUAAAUAUUUUAUUUAUUGAUAAAUUAAUAAUCUUAAAAUAAUAAACUUAUAUAACAUAUAAAUAAUAUAUAAAAUUGUAUAAUUUAUUAAUUUAUGAUACUUAAUUUGUUAUUUUUUAAGAUAUUAAUUUCUUUGCAUUAUGAUAAAUUUAUCUUUAUUGAAAUAAUAAUAUACUUUUAAGCCGGAGUUGUUAAUUGAGAUUUCAAUUAUAAUUUUUUUUUACUUUCAAAUUUAAUUAAAAACUAUUAAAUUAUAAUUUAUUAUUGAAAUUAAAGAUAUAUACUUUAAUAAUAAAUUAUUUAUUUACUAAUUGAGAUUUCAAUUAUAAUCUUUUUUUUACUUUCAAAUUUAAUUAAAAACUAUUAAAUUAUAAUUUAUUAUUGAAAUUUAAAAUAUAUACUUUAAUAAUAAAUUAUUUAUAUUUAAAUUAUAUUUAAAAUGAAGUUUCAAUUACCAACUAAGACUUUAGUUUAAAAAUGAAACCUCACUUAACAAUUAGACUUUAGUUCAAAAAUGCAAUUGAGACUUUAACUAAAAUAAUAAAAAAAAAUAUUUUUUUUAAUGAUAUGACGCUUGUGUGACAGCAAAUAGGUCAAUUUGAGUAUAAGUUUUAAAAAGUGGUUAGAUUUUAUAUUUUUUUUAAUAAAGGGGUCAUUUUGACCCAAAUCUCAUUAGAUUAGGCAUGCGGACGUGGGCGUUGAGUAUGCUUUUACGUGCGAGUGUCUUGCUACCUUAGGCACGAAACCCUCCUCUUCCACUCAUUUUGUUGCGGAAGGAGGCCAGGCCAUUCUUAUUCAAACAAAUUAGCUGGGAACUUUGAAAUCUUAAACCGUCGUAGAUAUGUGAUAAACUAGUACACCUUGUAUGAGAUAAUCUAAUCCUGAUUAUUGCUAACAUUGUCAAUUUUAAUCAGCUCCGGCCUGUAUGUUGUUGGACCAGUUGCCCACAAACAUGUAGUUCACAUGGAAGUGGGUCCUGAGGUCAGUACCUGUUACAUCUCCAACCACAAAAGAAUUAACUAAAGAUCAAAUGUGCAAUACGAGUACAAUCAGUAACGGGGCAGUGCACUGACUCAAUUAAAUUAUAUGGUUUGACCAUUAAACACUUUGAAUUUCUUCAUCACGUAAUCCAGUGCACUGACUCAAUUAAAAUUUACAAGAAAAUUAUAUGGUUUAACCAUUAAACACUUUGAAUUUCUUCAUCACGUAAUCCAAAAGUCUACGUUCUCACAGUAUUUCUCAACUUCAUUCAAUUCCCUCCUUCCCCAUUUUAAUACCCUCCUCCUCCUCCUCUCUCUCUCUCUCUCUCUCUCUUUCUCUCUCUCUCUCCAUGGAGUCUCCCAGCACCAUCAGAGUUGCCACUUCUCUCUGCUAUUUUUGCGUGCUUUUAUCUUUUACUACCACAGUGAUCGACCCUGUUGUUGCUUUGGAAAAUUGCAAAUUUCCAGCAAUCUUUAACUUAGGAGACUCCAAUUCAGACACAGGUGGAUAUGCUGCUGCCUUCUCUCAACCUCCCUGGCCUUAUGGGAGGACCUUUUUCCGCAUGCCAGCAGGCAGAUUCUCAGAUGGUCGCCUCAUGAUUGAUUUCAUUGGUACCAUUUACCUUCUCUUUAAACCUAUUUUCUGCAUAUCUACCUCUCAUUGGCCAAGAGCCAGUGUUUAUAAAAUCGGUACAGGGGAUAAGAAAAGCCAAAUUCAGACAUUCAUUUUUUAUUUCAUUUUCCAUCAAAAUUAGAAAAAGGGCUAGGAAAUGUACUGUUUUAGUCUAGGACUAACCAAAACUUGGCAGCAUUAUUGACUUGGUCAAAAUUUACAUGGUUUCAGCCAACAGUUUUGGUCUACCAUUUCUCAGUGCUUAUCUUAAUUCUCUGGGGUCCAAUUACACAAAUGGUGCAAACUUUGCCACGGCUGCUUCUACAAUCCGACUACCGACUAGCAUAAUACCUGCAGGUGGGCUCAGUCCAUUCUACCUGGACUUGCAAUACGAUCAGUUUGUGCAAUUCAAGUCCAGAACACUAAAGAUAAGGAAACGAGGUAAAUGAUAAUUUAACAUUAAUAGACGUUUUGUAGUGCAUAGCUAUAUAAAUGAUAUUUUUCUAAGUGGCUUUUAAUGAUUUUUAGGUGGGGUGUACAAGGACUUAAUGCCCAAGGAGGAGUAUUUUCCCAAAGCUCUAUACACGUUGGACAUCGGUCAGAAUGAUCUUGGUGAAGGGUUCUUUGCUAACAAGUCAAUCCAGGAAGUCAAUGCAACUGUCCCUGAUAUAAUCAAUGGUUUCUCCACCAAUGUCAGGGUAAUCCUUAGAUUAGGGACUUCGAUUUAAUGUAUGUUUUGAAGCAUUUCCUUUCUGGNNNNNNNNNNNNNNNNNNNNNNNNNNNNNNNNNNNNNNNNNNNNNNNNNNNNNNNNNNNNNNNNNNNNNNNNNNNNNNNNNNNNNNNNNNNNNNNNNNNNUAUGUUUUGAAGCAUUUCCUUUCUGGGUCUCGUUUUUUCAUAGCUUUUUUCUCUCUGUCACAACUUAUUGCAUAGUACUGAGACUAUGUACAUGAAUGAAUCACAUGAUGAUGCAGCGUAUUUACAAGUCGGGAGCAAGAUCAUUCUGGAUUCACAACACAGGACCCAUCGGCUGCCUCGCCUAUAUCUUGGUCAAUUUUCAGGCAGCUCAAAGGGACAGCGCCGGUUGUUCAAAGCCUCACAAUGAAGUGGCUCAGUACUUCAACUACAAGUUGAAGGAGGCUGUUGCCCAACUCCGGAAGGACUUUCCUUUAGCUGCAAUUACAUAUGUCGAUGUCUACUCUGUCAAGUAUUCCCUCUUUAGCCAACCCAAGAAAUAUGGUAAGCCAUAUGAUGAUAUAUAUAUAGGAAAAUAGUAGCUCGUGUCAUCUAACUUUAACUCAUUUAUGCACCAUGUUGUUAACAAAUGAUGCUUUUCUCAUAAUCUGCAGGGUUUGAGCUUCCACUUGUGGUUUGCUGUGGCUAUGGAGGUGAGUACAACUAUGGCAAUGAUGCCAGCUGUGGUAGUACCAUUACUGUUAAUGGUAGCCAAAUUUUUGUGGGAUCAUGUGAGCGCCCUUCACUUCGAGUGAAUUGGGAUGGAGUUCACUACACUGAGGCAGCUAACAAAUUUGUUUUUGAUCAAAUCUCCAGUGGAGCAUUUUCAGAUCCGCCUCUGCCCUUAAAAAUGGCAUGUCAUAGGAACGCUUCAUAUUGAAGGCAGACCAACGUGCACUUCUGUUGGUAUUAUCAUUAAUGUAUGCUCCUGGUUCUGGGUAAUAAGUAAUAAGCAUCAUGCAUUGAUCAAAGGGUAGCCUAAAAUGUACCUUUCUUGUAUGUAAUAAGCAUCAUGCAUUGAUCAAAGGGUAGCCUAAAAUGUACCCUUCUUGUAUGUAAUAAGCAUCUAACUCAACAGAGUUAGUGUACUCAUGCUCUCUAAUAUAUUUGGCAAAGCCCAUGUCCUUUAUUGCAGAACCUGCACUUCAUUUGUUAAAUUAUUAUUGUUUCACAGACAUGAAUAAGCCUGUUUUAAAAGGAAAUUGAGAGCAAAAAUGAAAAUAAAAAUAAAAAUGGGGCUGUGUAGAAAGGUGGGUGACGUGGGUCUAAUUUAAUAGUGACUUGAAAAUAUCCGAAGUAUGAUUCUUUGAAGAUUGAAGAAUCUUCAUAGGGUGUUUACUUCAAAAUUACACCUACCUUAAAAGUUUCCUUGAAUUGAAUUUAGCACAAUAGACACUCAUCAAUUAAACCAACCAAGAUAUUGUUUUGAUACAUUUUUGGUUGUCUAUUUUUAAAAAUAUAAAAAUAAUAAUAAUAAUAACUUUUAUCCAAAAAUGAUACUGAAAAAAAAAAACUUUAAAAUUUAAAAAUGAAAGAUAAAUUCAUACAUUUUAUAUAAUAUUUACUAAUUUUUUUAUUAUUUUUAUUUUAAAAAUAGAAAAUAUAGAAUGAAUAUUGUAAUUAACACUAAAUUUUAAUAUUUUUGAUAUGCAUUAUGGGGAAAUGGACAUUGAUCAUUUUCUAGAAUGUAGAAUUUUUAUUUGCAUAAUGAAGCAUAAGUUUUUGUUUGUAUGUUAGCCAAUACCUUACUUGUGGUGGAAAAGCCAAAGACACACAUGACAAAUUUCUAUGAAACGUUAUCUUCCAAGUUGCGGGUCCAAAUAUGCAUGCUGUGUCGUGUCGAGAAGAAUUAGCCAGGAGGCAACAUGUGAGCUCCUACAAAGUCAAGGCCUCCAUGAACGUGUUUGGAAUUUAUUUUCUCUAAUAUUAUAUAUAAAUUCAAAUUUUAGAUCUGACAAAAUCUUCAAGCUCGUGAAAGAAACUAAUAAAAACGAAUAUGAGACUAGAGUUAACUGCAAGGCUUUUAAGGUCAUGUUUGUCUGAUUUCAUGCAGCCUUAUCUUACUGCAAAGAUCACACGUAAGUUUGAAGAAAUUUUUGUAACUGAGCUUAAAUAUCACCGAGUCCUAGAAAUUAAAUUCAGUGGAAAAGUCCACCUUGUCACAGUAUACAAAUUUUUGUUCUCCCUUUUUGGAUAAUUACCCUUACAGGUAGGCUAGAAAAAAUAUGAUUGAUAAGGAUGGGUAUAUUUAAUAAUUCUUCUUAAGGGUAGGGUGAAAUUAAGAUAAUUUUUCUAAAGACCUUAUUUUUUUUGAAUGUCAAUACUACCCUUAAUAAGUGAAAAUCAACAGCAAAAUGUAAGAUUUUUGUCGAUAUUGAAGAAGAAAAAAAUCCAACACUUCAGGUUAUGAUCUGAAACCCUUUUCACAAAGCUUGUAUUUUUGUGUGAAUCUAGUAAGAAAUCCAUUAAAGGUAAGAUUUUUUUAUAAAAAAAAAAAAGCUGAAAAAAACAAAAAUACGUCAGUUUAUGCAAAUAAAUAAAUAAAUAAAUAAGUAAUUUAAAAUUUGGAUUGAAGGAACGAACUGUUAAUAAUUUUAACAAUGUAGAUCUAAAAUAUUAUAUCUGAAAUAUUGAAUGAGGUUUUGAGAAAGAAAUUACAUUUUUUGUGUUGAAUUUUUUUAUUUUAUUUUGGUCAUAUUGAAGAUGUGUUUUUAUUUUUAAUUUAUUUUUUGGGUGAGUUAUUUGAUAUGAUUAUUAUUGAUUUCCAUUAAAAAUGUUUGCACUUUAGUUUUGUUGUUGAGACUUGCUUGACAUGAGAGAAGAAAAAAAUUUCUCAAUUGUUUCAUGCUUUUUUGGAACCACUUUGUUUGAGUAUUUAUGAACAUAUUUGGAUUUUUAUUGAAAACUGAAAAUUAUAAUCAAUUGAGACAUAUUUUAUAUAAUAAAGAACAAUAUUUUUUGUAUAUUAGACAUGUAUAUGCCAAAAAACUCAUAAUUGCCCUAUUUUUAUAUAAAAAAUUAAUUUUAUAGAUUUUUUUUAUACAUCGACAACUUUAUGUAUUGAAAUUACAAUAGUGUAUUUUUGUUAUCUUUUUAUAAUUUUGGCUUGCAAAGAUGCUUUAUGAUAGGAAUACAACAUGAUAGCCUAGAAAUGCUAGUUUAGUAAAAAACGAAUUCAAUAUUUUGUCAUUUUGGUAUAUUAUAAUGUAUCGUAAUGUUAAUAUUUUUUUCAUUAUAACUAUAUUGCAUUUGUAUUGUAAUUAUACUUUAUAAUUGUCAGGAGAGAAGGAGAGAAGAUGUACUUCUCAAUUGGUAAAUGGACUUGAAAAAUUCAGGGUAAAUUGGUCUAAUAAAAAUGUAAGACCUUCAUAAGAAUUAUCAAACCUACCAACGUUUUUCAGUAAUUUUUUUCCCCAAUCGGGUAAUUUUCCCUUCCCUUUUCUUCUUGUUUUCAAAAAACCAACCAUAGGUUAUGAAAAUUUGUUUUUUUCUAGUUUUGGGUUUACCGCUGAAGAAAGAGUCUUUGGAUUUUCUAUAAUUACAAACCGAUAGCAAACCCAGAACCAGUCAAUUUGAUUUGUCAAGAAGCGAUAUGGUAUGGAAAUGAGUUUAUUUAUGGAAUAUUUGUAUUUUGGAGGUGUGGCAAUAAGAUGUAUGUUUGAUGCAGCUGUGGUUCUUGUGGGUACGAACUAAAGCUUUGCGAUCCUCUAAUCGGAACACAAAGAAUAUAGGCUCCAAAUAUGGGAAAAACAUAAAACGCGGCGUCAUAUCAUUUCUCCAAGUUGAUGAGAGUGGCUUUACCCUGGUUGAUGAGUUCAAAUGUAUACCCUACUUCAUCUCCAGGCACUCUUGGGGUUUGUUCUGCCACAGAACCACUUCUUUGCCGUAAGUGUGGCAACCAUGUUGGCAAUGCUUAUGUCAGGAAGUCUCCUUACCCACUUGUGUUCGAUGAAUCGGAUUCUGCCCCAGCCACAGCCACCACUGACAUCUCCACUUGUAGAAAAUAUGACAUUCGACUCCGUGCCCUGCAGCCCUCAUCUUCUGAGCCCUCUGCCAUUCCGCUUCUCACCUGAUCUGCAGAAUCAAACCAAGAAUAUUCUUAUGAGAGGGACUGUAUAGCAAUUGAGUCCUUUGUUUUGGUCUUGGCUUUUUGCUCUUUUGUAUUACUAGAUAGAUGGUGAGUCAGUGACUUGUAAAUAUCAGUUUCCAAGACUGGAUUAUCGAAGUUUUUUAUACUUCCAGUAACUUACAAAUAACACGGUCGAUGUAAUUUCUUGUUCUCACUGUUCUCUGUUAGCCAUGACCAUAAUCACAACAUAUCCUUCUAACUAUGAUCCACAUAUCCUCUUUCCUAUUCAAUUUGGAAACUGGAAAAGUUCAAAAUUCAACGAACUUUCCUUCGCCACGCCCACAGUUUAGGUCAUUGGAUUAGGCAUGCGGACGUGGGCGUUGAGUAUGCUUUUGCGCGCGAGUGUCUUGCUACCUUAGACACGAACCCCUCCUCUUCCACUCAUUUUGUUGCGGAAGGAGGCCAGGCCAUUCUUAUUCAAACAAAUUAGCUGGGAACUUUGAAAUCUUAAACCGUCGUAGAUAUGUGAUAAACUAGUACACCUUGUAUGAGAUAAUCUAAUCCUGAUUAUUGCUAACAUUGUCAAUUUUAAUCAGCUCCGGCCUGUAUGUUGUUGGACCAGUUGCCCACAAACAUGUAGUUCACAUGGAAGUGGGUCCUGAGGUCAGUACCUGUUACAUCUCCAACCACAAAAGAAUUAACUAAAGAUCAAAUGUGCAAUACGAGUACAAUCAGUAAUGGGGCAGUGCACUGACUCAAUUAAAUUAUAUGGUUUGACCAUUAAACACUUUGAAUUUCUUCAUCACGUAAUCCAAAAGUCUACGUCCUCCUCCUCCUCCUCCCUCUCUCUCUCUCUCUCUCUCUCUCUCUCCAUGGAGUCUCCCAGCACCACCAGACUUGCCACUUCUCUCUGCUGUAUUUGCGUGCUUUUAUCUUUUACUACCACAGUGAUCAACCCUGUUGUUGCUUUGGAAAAUUGCAAAUUUCCAGCAAUCUUUAACUUAGGAGCCUCCAGUUCAGACACAGGUGGAUAUGCUGCUGCCUUCUCUCAACCUCCCUGGCCUUAUGGGAGGACCUUUUUCCGCAUGCCAGCAGGCAGAUUCUCAGAUGGUCGCCUCAUGAUUGAUUUCAUUGGUACCAUUUACCUUCUCUUUAAACCUAUUUUCUGCAUAUCUACCUCUCAUUGGCCAAGAGCCAGUGUUUAUAAAAUCGGUACAGGGGACAAGAAAAGCCAAAUUCAGACAUUCAUUUUUAAUUUCAUUUUCCAUCAAAAUUAGAAAAAGGGCUAGGAAAUGCACUGGUUUAGUCUAGGACUAACCGAAACUUGGCAGCAUUAUUGACUUGGGCAAAAUUUACAUGGUUUCAGCCA
rnacentral:lncRNA from 1 species